UCGAGAAUCUUCCGCAAUGCGCGCAAGCGUGACGGAGCGACGCCGCGUGGGUGAUGAAGGCUUUACUGUUGUAAAACCCUGUCAGCUACCAUGAAAUGUGGGCGAUGAACAAUUGUCCCACUUGACCUAAGUAGCAGAGGAAGCACCGGCUAACUACGUGCCAGCCGCCGCGGUAAUACGUAGGGUGCAAACGUUGUUCGGAAUCACUGGGCAUAAAGGGCGCGUAGGCGGUCCAUUAAGUCGGAUGUGAAAUACUUCGGCCCAACCGGAGAACUGCAUUUGAUACUGAUGGGCUA
rnacentral:rRNA from 1 species